rnacentral:rRNA from 1 species
UACGUAGGUGGCAAGCGUUGUCCGGAUUUAUUGGGCGUAAAGGGUGCGUAGGUGGCGUGGUAAGUCGGGUGUGAAAUUUCGGAGCUUAACUCCGAAACUGCAUUCGAUACUGCUGUGCUUGAGGACUGGAGAGGAGACUGGAAUUUACGGUGUAGCAGUGAAAUGCGUAGAGAUCGUAAGGAAGACCAGUGGCGAAGGCGGGUCUCUGGACAGUUCCUGACACUGAGGCACGAAGGCCAGGGGAGCAAACGGG